rnacentral:rRNA from 1 species
AACGAACGCUGGCGGCAGGCUUAACACAUGCAAGUCGAGCGCCCCGCAAGGGGAGCGGCAGACGGGUGAGUAACGCGUGGGAAUCUACCCAUCUCUACGGAAUAACGCAUGGAAACGUGUGCUAAUACCGUAUACGUCCUUCGGGAGAAAGAUUUAUCGGAGAUGGAUGAGCCCGCGUUGGUUUAGCUAGUUGGUGGGGUAAAGGCCUACCAAGGCGACGAUCCAUAGCUGGUCUGAGAGGAUGAUCAGCCACACUGGGACUGAGACACGGCCCAGACUCCUACGGGAGGCAGCAGUGGGGAAUAUUGGACAACGGGCGCAAGCCUGAUCCAGCCAUGCCGCGUGAGUGAUGAAGGCCCUAGGGUUGUAAAGCUCUUUCACCGGUGAAGAUAAUGACGGUAACCGGAGAAGAAGCCCCGGCUAACUUCGUGCCAGCCGCCGCGGUAAAAC